AACGAACGCUGGCGGCAGGCUUAACACAUGCAAGUCGAGCGCAUCCUUCGGGGUGAGCGGCGGACGGGUGAGUAACGCGUGGGAACGUGCCCUCUUCUACGGAAUAGCCUCGGGAAACUGAGAGUAAUGCCGUAUACGCCCGCAAGGGGAAAGAUUUAUCGGAGGAGGAUCGGCCCGCGUUGGAUUAGGUAGUUGGUGGGGUAACGGCCUACCAAGCCGACGAUCCAUAGCUGGUUUGAGAGGAUGAUCAGCCACACUGGGACUGAGACACGGCCCAGACUCCUACGGGAGGCAGUAGUGGGGAAUCUUGGACAAUGGGGGCAACCCUGAUCCAGCCAUGCCGCGUGAUCGAUGAAGGCCUUAGGGUUGUAAAGAUCUUUCAGCUGGGAAGAUAAUGACGGUACCAGCAGAAGAAGCCCCGGCUAACUCCGUG
rnacentral:rRNA from 1 species